rnacentral:rRNA from 1 species
CACGAACGCUGGCGGCAGGCUUAACACGUGCAAGUCGAGCGCCCCGCAAGGGGAGCGGCAGACGGGUGAGUAACGCGUGGGAAUCUACCCAUCUCUACGGAAUAACGCAUGGAAACGUGUGCUAAUACCGUAUACGUCCUUCCGGAGAAAGAUUUAUCGGAGAUGGAUGAGCCCGCGUUGGAUUAGCUGGUUGGUGGGGUAAAGGCCUACCAAGGCGACGAUCCAUAGCUGGUCUGAGAGGAUGAUCAGCCACACUGGGACUGAGACACGGCCCAGACUCCUACGGGAGGCAGCAGUGGGGAAUAUUGGACAAUGGGCGCAAGCCUGAUCCAGCCAUGCCGCGUGAGUGAUGAAGGCCCUAGGGUUGUAAAGCUCUUUCACCGGUGAAGAUAAUGACGGUAACCGGAGAAGAAGCCCCGGCUAACUUCGUGCCAGCCGCCGCAGUAAAAC